rnacentral:lncRNA from 1 species
CUGACCGUCCAUUUGUGUCGACGUGGAGCAAGAAGAGCUAUCCGAUUUGAGGACCAUUUAAGCAUAUCCAGGUGCAAAUUUGUGCUAUCCAUCGCGAUCCUUUGGAGUGAAUCCCAAUCGUUCAUCGGCACAUAGUUGGAUCUUCGCAUAAUUGAUCAGAGCUAUCCAUUUAAAUAUAGGAAGGAUUGGGAUCUCUUCGUUCGUGCGAGCAGGAUAAAUGUGGGCUAUUCAGUCGCCUAGGCAUGCGGAUCGCCCGCGUGGCUCCCGUGUGGAACCCGUAUCAGCAUGUCCACCACGCGGCGCGUUCUGACUCGCUGUUGUUGCUAACAUAGCUAUCCCAUA